UUUUUUUAAUCGUCAAAAUGAAAAUAACCUCAAGUCACCACUCAAAGACUUGUUUGUUUCCUUAACUUUAUUACUUUCUUGAAUUAUUCUUUCUUUGAGCAUUAGCUUUGAAGGUCACCGCAGGACCAUAGAAAAAGGAAAAAAAGGAGAAAAUGCAAACAAAUGAAUUGACAGAAAAGAGAAAUACAUUAAUUCUAUUUCUAAACUAAUUAAUAUCAUGUGUAGAACAUUAAAUAUGCAUCAUUUUGGAAGUGGGUUUGCUUAGAAAUUAGGAUUGAUUGGUCCCCUAUAUGCAAGUUAUUGAUUCCUUUCUCUCUCUUUCUCCUCCUUCCUUUUUUUCUCACAAAGUUUUGAUUGCCAGUCGAAAAAGUGAAGAAGUAGGGACAUCUAUGAUAAUGAGAGAGACUAGCUAAAAUUGAAUGUUGUAGCAAAGAAUGAAAGAUGUGACCAAAACAAGUGCCAAUUGCACAAAUGAAAGAGGGUAGCUUCUUGUUGAAUCUCCUGUUGCCAAACUUGCCAGCCAUGAACUUGCUAAUUCUGCCUCCUGUAUUGCCCCUGACGCCAUCGACCCUCCUCCUUCUGUCCCUGUUGCCAUUGGAGACAGAUCUCUUGCAGAUUUCAGACUGCACAACAAGAAUUGAUUCCAAUCCAAAAAAGUUACUUCCCAACACUAAUAAAUAUAUAACAAUUAUACCACCAUAUGUUAUCUUUGUUAAUAAUCAAGUAAUCCAAUAUUUGAAUUCAAUAAUUACUGGGUGCUAAUUAAACAAUGAUUAGAUACAAAUAACAUAUAAAUGGCGACAAUUUCUAAACUAUGAUCUUAAUUAUAGCACAAAUAAUUAAGUUUAUUUUUUUCAAUUAAAGCCAAAAGUAAUAAUUAAGGCAAGAAAUGAAGUAACUGAUGAGAGGAAGCUUAAUUAUGUUACCAUGAAUCAAGUAGUGUUUACCUGGGCAAGUGAGGGCAAAAUGUGACUGUGUAAUCAGCACCAGUACACGUGAAAGUACUGGAAGCAUCAUCAAAAGCGUAGCUGUAUGAUUUCGGACACGCGUUCUUGAACAUUUCUGAGUACGUCGAAGGUUUACAAGUUGAAGGUGUAUUAUACGCGCCACUGCAACAGUACUCUGGGUUCCCAAACGCAUCACAAGCGCUCCGGCAUGCUGCGCCGCCCUCAACUUUCAGUUCAUUCGGACACUUCCUGUUAAGGUCCGUCACGCAACCCGUCGUCGCACAAGCACCUGAGCCGCCAUUCACCUCAACUACCAUUGGCAAAUUAUAGCCGUCGACGAGGCUGACGUCGUAGAAAUCUUGUGUGCCGGUGCCGAGGGUGAAUUCAGCUAAGGUGGCAGGCGGAGUAGCACUGUUGCCGUUGCAUUCGAUUUGGGAAGAGCCGCAGUCGGCAGUGGCGCAGGAGCCGUGGCCCGAAGCAUCAAAAUUGCAGCCAGUUCGUCCCCAGAAACGACCGGACCAACCUGUCGGGGCCUGAAAAGAGCGAGAGCUGCCCUUGGGGAGCUCAAAACCUGUAGUGUCUAGUUUAGGGCUUCCAAGAAUUCCAGGCCAUACACUGUAAUCGCAUUUGUUAACAAGUGUGAAUACAGCACCUGAAGCACCUUCGAAAAUGAAGAGAAUAAUCAGGCUGAGGAAUACAGUGUAAGAACAAGAAAUACAGGAGAAUAAUGAAGCCAUGUUCUUGUUAUUGUUCAAGAAGUUUAAGAAAUCUAUUUCUUUUUUGGGUUAGCGCAAGAAUGAGAAUGAUGAUGGGUGUGUGUAGAUGGUAAUUAAUUAAUGGUGAGACAUUUUUGUUGAUGAUGAUGAUGAUUGGUAAUUAAAGCAAGGGUUAUGAAAGAAAUAGAAAGGAGAAUAAGAAGAAGAACAGUAACUAAGACUGGGUUUUUUGCUAUGAUAGAUGGCAGGAAAAGAAGAGGAAUGAGAAAUCUGCUCAAAAGAAUUACCACCCAAAGCCAUAAACUGGCGAAAAAAUUUCACAAGAUUGCACUCCUCUCUCUCUCGCUCUCUCUGUAUCUACCAAUCUACCUUAUUUUUUUGGUGAAAGAGGGAGUGGAUGGAAUUAAAGGAGAGUGUAAGACUUGAGAGAGUGAGUGAUGAAGAAUCUCAACCAGCG
rnacentral:misc_RNA from 1 species